rnacentral:rRNA from 1 species
AGUGAACGCUGGCGGUAGGCCUAACACAUGCAAGUCGAACGGCAGCACAGUAAGAGCUUGCUCUUACGGGUGGCGAGUGGCGGACGGGUGAGGAAUACAUCGGAAUCUACUUUUUCGUGGGGGAUAACGUAGGGAAACUUACGCUAAUACCGCAUACGACCUACGGGUGAAAGCAGGGGAUCUUCGGACCUUGCGCGAUUGAAUGAGCCGAUGUCGGAUUAGCGAGUUGGCGGGGUAAAGGCCCACCAAGGCGACGAUGCGUAGCUGGUCUGAGAGGAUGAUCGGCCACACUGGAACUGAGACACGGUCCAGACUCCUACGGGAGGCAGCAGUGGGGAAUAUUGGACAAUGGGCGCAAGCCUGACCGAGCCAUGCCGCGUGGGUGAUGAAGGCCUUCGGGUUGUAAAGCCCUUUUGUUGGGAAAGAAAAGCAGCAGGUUAAUACCCCGCUGUUCUGACGGUACCCAAAGAAUAAGCACCGGCUAACUUCGUG